UACGUAGGGCGCAAGCGUUAUCCGGAAUUAUUGGGCGUAAAGAGCUCGUAGGCGGUUUGUCGCGUCUGCCGUGAAAACCCGCGGCUCAACCGCGGGCCUGCAGCCGAUACGGGCAGGCUAGAGUUCGGUAGGGGAGACUGGAAUUCCUGGUGUAGCGGUGAAAUGCGCAGAUAUCAGGAGGAACACCGGUGGCGAAGGCGGGUCUCUGGGCCGAUACUGACGCUGAGGAGCGAAAGCGUGGGGAGCGAACAGG
rnacentral:rRNA from 1 species